GGAGGGGUGGCCGAGCGGCUUAAGGCGCCUGUCUUGAAAACAGGUUUACCGAAAGGUAACGUGGGUUCGAAUCCCACUCCCUCCGCCA
rnacentral:tRNA from 2 species